rnacentral:rRNA from 1 species
AAUUCCAAUCGAACCCGGAGAUAGCUGGUUCUCCUCGAAAUAGCUUUAGGGCUAGCCUCAUACAAGUCUUGCGGAGGUAGAGCACUGAAUUCCUACGGGGGCGUCAAAGCUUACCAAGGGAUAUCAAACUCCGAAUGCCGUGUAGAUGAUGUAUGGGAGUCAGACUAUCCGAGAUAAGUUGGGUAGUCGAAAGGGAAAGAGCCCAGACCUGCAGCUAAGGCCCCAAAAUGUGUGUUAAGUGGAAAAGGAUGUGGGAUUUCGAAGACAACUAGGAUGUUGGCUUAGAAGCAGCCAUCCAUUAAAAGAGUGCGUAAUAGCUCACUAGUCGAGAGGUCCUGCGCCGAAAAUGUCCGGGGCUGAAACACACUGCCGAAGCUCAGGGAUGAACAGUGAUCAAUACAGAUCAAUGCAAGAGGAAAGCUUCUUGAUGAAAUCAAGAAGAUUCCAAAACAGAUGAAACAGACUGCUGUUGGUCUGCGUUGAUCACUGUUCAUCGGUAGAGGAGCAUUCUUAAAGAGACGAAGCUGUACCGAAAGGAGCAGUGGAUUUUUAAGAAGAGAGAAUGCCGGAAUGAGUAGCGAGAAAGAGGUGAGAAUCCUCUUGGCCGAAUAUCUAAGGUUUCCAGGGUAAAGCUGAUCUGCCCUGGGUAAGUCGGGGCCUAAGGCGAGGUCGAAAGACGUAGUCGAUGGAUAACAGGUUGAAAUUCCUGUACUAUCCUGUAACAGAACUGUGGGGACGCAGACAGAGAGCACAAGCCGGGAAUGGAAAGACCGGUGCAAGCGAGGUAGGAGUACAUCAGGCAAAUCCGGUGUGCAAUCCGAAGACGUGAUGCGGAUCGAAAAGAAGUAGAGAAGUGUGUGAGCUGGCUGCCAAGAAAAGCCGCUAUUGUUUACAGGAUACCCGUACCGUAAACCGACACAGGUGGAUGAGGAGAGAAUCCUAAGGCCGACGGGAGAAGCAUUGUUAAGGAACUCGGCAAAAUGACUCCGUAACUUCGGGAGAAGGAGUGCCAUGCGAAUGGCCGCAGAGAAUUGGCCCAAGCAACUGUUUAGCAAAAACACAGGUCUAUGCGAAACCGAAAGGUGAGGUAUAUGGGCUGACGCCUGCCCGGUGCUGGAAGGUUAAGGGGAGAGGUUAGCGCAAGCGAAGCUUUGAACUUAAGCCCCAGUAAACGGCGGCCGUAACUAUAACGGUCCUAAGGUAGCGAAAUUCCUUGUCGGGUAAGUUCCGACCCGCACGAAAGGCGUAAUGAUUUGGGCACUGUCUCAACAAUGCACCCGGUGAAAUUGAAAUACCAGUGAAGAUGCUGGUUACCUGCGCCAGGACGGAAAGACCCCAUGGAGCUUUACUCUAGCUUGAUACUGGGAUUCGAUAUUGCAUGUACAGGAUAGGUGGGAGACUAGGAAGUGGUGACGCCAGUUGCCAUGGAGUCAAUGUUGGGAUACCACCCUUGCAGUAUUGGGUUUCUAACCAGCAGCCGUGAUCCGGCUGGGGGACAAUGUCAGGUGGGGAGUUUGACUGGGGCGGUCGCCUCCGAAAGGGUAUCGGAGGCGCUCAAAGGUUCCCUCAGAAUGGUUGGAAACCAUUCGAAGAGUGCAAAGGCAGAAGGGAGCUUGACUGCGACACCGACGGGUGGAGCAGGUACGAAAGUAGGACUUAGUGAUCCGGUGGUAUAAAGUGGGAUUGCCAUCGCUCAACGGAUAAAAGCUACCCUGGGGAUAACAGGCUUAUCACUCCCAAGAGUUCACAUCGACGGAGUGGUUUGGCACCUCGAUGUCGGCUCAUCGCAUCCUGGGGCUGUAGUCGGUCCCAAGGGUUGGGCUGUUCGCCCAUUAAAGCGGUACGCGAGCUGGGUUCAGAACGUCGUGAGACAGUUCGGUCCCUAUCCGGCGUGGGCGUAGGAUAUUUGAGAGGAGCUGCCCUUAGUACGAGAGGACCGGGGUGGACUGGCCGCUGGUGUAUCUGUUGUAUUACCAAGUGCAUAGCAGAGUAGCCAAGCCGGGAAGGGAUAAACGCUGAAGGCAUCUAAGCGUGAAGCCCCCCUCAAGAUGAGAUAUCCCAUAACGUCAAGUUAGUAAGACCCCUUGAAGACGACGAGGUAGAUAGGGCAGAGGUGGAAGUGUGGCAACACAUGGAGCUGACUGUUACUAAUAGGUCGAGGGCAUAACCAA